rnacentral:pre_miRNA from 1 species
CACGUACUCCCUCCGUUCAGAAUUACUUGUCGCAGAAAUAGAUGUAUCUAGACGUAUUUUAGUUCUAGAUACAUCCAUUUCCGAGACAAGUAAUUCCGAACGGAGGGAGUAAGAC